CGCUUCUAGCCUCACAGGCGCGCAUUCGUAAUGCGGGGGUCACGUGUUCGAGUCACGUAAGCGGCACCA
rnacentral:tRNA from 1 species